GUAGUGAUCAAUGACACUCUCCAGGUGCUCUCUCAUAGUGGAGGGUCGUGAUGAUGGAGGAUCAGAAACCCGCAAACUUGGCUGAGAAAAUGGAGCCGAGGAAAAUUCUCGGGCAAAUUCACUGAGGAAGAGUCGAUCACCAUUCCUGUUGCCUGACUGGUGUAACAUCAACUCUCAGGCAUGUCAGAUCAAGAGGGAGAACCAUAGUAAACGAAGAAAGUGGAGCCGUGUGCUUGCGCUGAGAGCCAUGUGGAACCAAGUUAUUGAAGAUGGAUCCACAGAAUGGUAGUUACACAUAAGGAUGUACCAGAUGAUGACUUUUAAAAUCCAGAUUGAAGACUACACAAUCAAAACGAGAACCUCUUACAUCUAAUGAUUCCUUAUACCGUCAGUGUUCUUUGAAGAUAUAAAUUGAAUAUGUCUUUAUGAACUCUUUGCUAGGAAAAAAAAAGAACUGCUAAGUCAAUACUAUACCUGCCUUCCCUCUUUGAUUAAAAAUUUAAACCAUUUAUAACCA
rnacentral:lncRNA from 1 species